rnacentral:rRNA from 1 species
AACGAAUGCUGGCGGCAGGCCUAACACAUGCAAGUCGAACGCCCUAGCAAUGGGGAGUGGCAGACGGGUGAGUAACACGUGGGAACCUUCCCUAUACUACGGAAUAGCCCAGGGAAACUUGGAGUAAUACCGUAUACGCCCGAGAGGGGAAAGAUUUAUCGGUAUAGGAUGGGCCCGCGUCGGAUUAGCUAGUUGGUGAGGUAAUGGCUCACCAAGGCGACGAUCCGUAGCUGGUUUGAGAGAACGACCAGCCACACUGGGACUGAGACACGGCCCAGACUCCUACGGGAGGCAGCAGUGGGGAAUAUUGGACAAUGGGCGCAGGCCUGAUCCAGCCAUGCCGCGUGAGUGAUGAAGGCCUUAGGGUUGUAAAGCUCUUUUGCCGGGGACGAUAAUGACGGUACCCGGAGAAUAAGUCCCGGCUAACUUCGUGCCAGCCGCCGCAGUAA